rnacentral:rRNA from 1 species
GUGCCAGCAGCCGCGGUAAUACCGGCAGCUCGAGUGAUGACCGAUCUUAUUGGGCCUAAAGCGUUCGUAGCCGGCCGGGCAAGUCCGUCGGGAAAUCUACCAGCCUAACUGGUAGGCGUCCGGCGGAAACUGCACGGCUUGGGACAGGGAGACUCGACGAGUACGUCCGGGGUAGGAGUGAAAUCCCGUAAUCCUGGACGGACUACCGAUGGCGAAAGCACGUCGAGAGAACUGCUCCGACGGUCAGGAACGAAAGCUGGGGUCUCGAACCGGAUUAGAUACCCGAGUAGUCC